AUAUUUCAUUCACAAGAAGGUUAAAGGCGUUUCCCAUCGCAAGAAGGAUUAACUUACCGGAGGAUUCUGGGACUGCAGAUGUAUACUGCGGCAAAAUCCUAAAUUCAUCGAAAAAAUCAUUUCUGGACUCCAGCUGCUAAAAAUAAUAGAAUUAUAGUAAAUCAUGGAUAAGAUUAAAACAAGCCAUUUUCACCUUCCAAA
rnacentral:lncRNA from 1 species